rnacentral:rRNA from 1 species
AUACGUAGGUGGCGAGCGUUGUCCGGAAUGAUUGGGCGUAAAGGGCGCGUAGGCGGCCUGGUAAGUCUGAAGUGAAAGUCCCGCUUUCAAGGUGGGAAUUGCUUUGGAUACUGCUGGGCUUGAGUGCAGGAGAGGAAAGCGGAAUUCCCGGUGUAGCGGUGAAAUGCGUAGAGAUCGGGAGGAACACCAGUGGCGAAGGCGGCUUUCUGGACUGUAACUGACUCUGAGGCGCGAAAGCGUGGGGAGCAAACAGGAUUAGAUACCCUGGUAGUCCACGCGGUAAACGAUGAAUGCUAGGUGUAGGAGGUAUCGACCCCUUCUGUGCCGGAGUAAACACAAUAAGCAUUCCGCCUGGGGAGUACGGCCGCAAGGUUGAAACUCAAAUGAAUUGGCGGGG